UAACCUAUACCGAGAGGUAUAACUGAACAUUCAGAAGUCAGUUCAAGUCAUAGUACUGUAGGAGCUUCUUCGAAAGUUGAGGUUAGGGAAGGAC
rfam:Clostridium collagenovorans DSM 3089 genome assembly, contig: EJ35DRAFT_scaffold00009.9